UACGUAGGGUGCAAGCGUUGUCCGGAAUUAUUGGGCGUAAAGAGCUCGUAGGCGGUUUGUCGCGUCUGCUGUGAAAACGCGAGGCUCAACCUCGCGCCUGCAGUGGGUACGGGCAGACUAGAGUGCGGUAGGGGAGAUUGGAAUUCCUGGUGUAGCGGUGGAAUGCGCAGAUAUCAGGAGGAACACCGAUGGCGAAGGCAGAUCUCUGGACCGUAACUGACGCUGAGGAGCGAAAGCGUGGGGAGCGAACAGG
rnacentral:rRNA from 1 species